GCUGCAGGGUUCCCAAGCAAAAUAAGUGGUACUGUUCCUGCAACCUUUGAGUGGCAUUGUUGUGGCACUGCAGGAGGCCCAGGAUGGGCAGAUGGAAUUAUGGUGUUGAAGGUGGAGAUGUGGUCAAUAAGUAGGAGCUUGACGUAGAUGCCCUUGUUAUCUGGACGUUCCAGAGAUGUGUGUAAAGCCAAGGAGAGGGCAUCUGCCAUGGAUCUGCUGCAUCAGUAGGUGAAUUGCAGUGGAUCAAGGUAAUGUGGGAGGCUGGAGUUGAUGUGACCCAUGACCAACCUCUCAAAGCACUUCAUAGUGAUAAAUAUGGAUGUCAGAGCCACUGGGCAGUCGUCAUUGAGGCUUUUGAAAAAAAUUGCUGACAUUCAGUGCGGGGAUCUUAAAGCAUUCGCACGAACAUCAGAAAAUUGGAGAAGCCUCGAGCAUAUGAGCACAGGUAGCUGAGGGUAGGGAGGGCGUGAAUUACAGAAAUCAAAGAGGGCAAGAUACAGAGAGAGAGAGAGAGAGAGAGAGAGACAGAGAUCAUAGUGAACAAAUGAUUGGCCUGGUAGGCAGUGGAAAAUACAUGAUUUUACAUGGAACAUGCAGAUAUCUUCGAAAAACAGGACAUUGAGUUUUGGAAAUUAGCGUUAUAGUUGAUUUGGAGUGAACCAAGUUACUGUUCAGUUUGGUUGUGGCUUUUGAUGAAGGGAUGGUCCAUCUGAGAUGGAAAUUGGAGGAAGAUUUCAGGAUUUUUUCAUGUUCUUGUCUUUCUGUUAUGCCCCGAGGUAAAAAGCAUUGGAAAUGCUGUUAAUUUUUUGCACGGCGAGCUGCAGAAUAUUGACCAGUCUCACACCAUUGCCAUCACCUUGCCCUUGCAGAUGCGGAUAAAGUUCUCCAAGCUGACAGAAAUUGAAAGCACUCGCAUCCUGUGACGAUGGGGUAGGAGUGGAAGAAUCAGAGUGUUUCUUUGAAAAUUGGCUUGAUGUGUCUGUCCAAGGGUCAUCUGGAGGAAAAAAUACAAGUGCACUCAGACAUGAACUAAUGGAUAAGGAGGAGACAAUCAUAACUGCUUUGGAUUCAGCCCAUAGAAGGGCCAGAGGAGUCGCGCUGACACCUUCAUGUUUAAACAGAGGACACUUUUCUGCGUGCCACUAGAUGUAUAUCAGCCAUACCAAAAUGCUGCCUUUGCCUGAGACAGGGAAGAUGAAAUGACUUUGGGGAAAUGGAGAAUCAUUCAUGAAUCCAGUUACUUUCUGAUCUGACAGCUUUGUGGCAUCUGAAUGGAUAACAAUUUGAUCUGGUAAUCUCAAUUGAUAGAGUGCAAAUGUGUAGUGAUGCAUUUUGGGAGCUCUGGUAAGUGAAAGAUGUUCACAAUGACUAGUAGAUCCCUAGAGAGCACUGAGAAACAAAGGGACCUUGGUGUCCAAAAGCAAGAGUUCAUGCCCUCUGCUUCUGGCCUUUCAGGCAAUGUUGGAUCCAACACUCCACUGAGCCUUAGAUCCCAUGAGCUCUUGUUUUGUUGACCAGUCUGCUAUCACUGACCUUAUCAAAAACAUAUAGACCACAUCAGAUGAAUUUCCCUCUUCAACACUUCUGAUAUCUCCUCAAUAAAAAUUAGAUAAAAUUUGCAAACCAUGGCAUUACCUCAACAAAGCCAUGCUGACUAUCCCCGAACAUUCCAUGUUUCUCCAAGUGCAGCGACAUUUUGUCCCUUAAAAUUCUUUCUGAUAACUUCCCUACCACCAAGGUUAGACUGGCUUGUAACUUCUGGAUCUGUCCUUUCUUCUUUUAUAUAAAAGUAUGAGCGGUCCUCUGGCACCUUAGCUGUGGCCAGAAAUGACUUGAAAAAUCUUUGCCAGGACCUUUGAUAUCUCCUCCCCUGCUUCAUAAAGUCAUGCAGUAUAGAAACAGGCUCACUUGAUCAACAUCAAUGCCAACUAACAAACAUCAAACUACUGAUCCCAUUUACCUGCACUGAGUCAUUACCUACCAUACCCUGGCCCUUUAAAUGCUCAUCUGUUGCUUCUUUAAUAUUGCAAGCGUAUCUGCCUUCUCCACCUUGUCAGGCAGCAUAUUACAUGUUUGUAUCGCUUUUGGUGAAAACACUUGCCUCAGAUCCCCUCUAAAUAGCUGACAGUUCACCUGAAAUCUAUGCCCCCUGACUUAAACUCGUCUACUGGUUCUCACAAUCAAUCUAUGCCUCCUCAUAAUUUUGAAUACGUCGAUCAGAUUUCCCCUCAGCCUCCUCUGCUGCAUGGAAAACGCACUUAGCCUACCAGUUUCUCCUCAUAAAACUUGCAUUCAAUCACAAAACAACACCCUGAAACAUAUACUAUCAACCAACCUGGCCAACAUCUCUGUCUCCGGCUUGCUACAGUGUUCCAGUGAAGCCCAGCACAAGCAGACAGAACAACACCUCAUUUUCUACUUGGGGACCUGACAGCCCUCCAGACUUAAUAUUGAGUUCUGCAAUUUUAGGGCCUAAACUCUCCCAUAUCCCAGCGCCCCCACCCCACACACCAGGCUUUGUUACCACGCAGCCUGCCACUACACACUCCCUGUUGUUAGUGACUAACAGUCCCCAUUGACAACUUCCCAGCCUGAUCGUUAGCAACUCCUUUAUCUGUCCACCUGUCUUUCUCUCUCUUUGGGCUCUAUCCUAUUGUUUACUCCCUCCCCACCCUCCUCCCUAUUUUCGGCAUAGAAACUGAUGUUUUCCCAGCCACCAUCAGUUCUGAGGAAGGGUCACCGGACUGGAAAUGUAAACUGUUUUUUCCUCCAACAUAUGUUGCCACACCUGCUGAGCUUUUCCAGCAACUUUGUUUUUGUUCGUUGUUUACAGCAUCCGCAGUUCUUGUGGUUUUUAUCACUAAACCUGUCAGACUCAUCAAUGCUCUCUAAUGCUCCAACUUGUUGCUCAAAUUGCUCCAAUAAGAGGCACCUGCUGUACACAUGGUCAUGCAGACCAGCAGGAGCACUCAGCAUUUGACAUGUAGCGUCGGAUGUACCAAUCAUGGGUCAGAUCUUAAUUCCAGGCAUACCUUAGCUCAACAGAACACGGAUCUUUGCUUUUAAUUUACUCAUUCUCCUGCUUAAUUGUAGGGGACAAAAACCAGUGUUCACUCUCAGGUCUCUGCUGGUAUGCCUGCUUUUCAGGGAGAGCCUUAUCUCACCCACUCCUCUCAAUAACAUUCUCUGACUGUCACUGGGCCAACCCUCUGCUCUCAGUAACACUGUCUGCCCGUCACAGGGCCCUCACCCCCUCCUCUCAGUAAUACUGCCCGUCACAGGGCCCUCGCCCCCUCCUCUCAGUAAUACUGCCCGUCACAGGGCCCUCGCCCCCUCCUCUCAGUAACACUGCCCGUCACAGGGACAUCACCCACUCCUCUCAGUAAUACUGCUUGCCACAGGGCCCUCACCUGCUCCUCUCAGUUAUGCACUGACUGACUGUCACAGGGCCCUCACCCCCUCCCCUCAGUAACACACUCCGUCACAGUGCCCUCAGACUGUCACAGAGCGCUCACCGCUCCGCUCAGUCACACUGCCAGUUACAGGGCCCUCACGCGCUCCUCUCAGUAACACUGCCUGUCACAGAACCCUCACGCGAUCCUCUC